rnacentral:lncRNA from 1 species
GGAUGCUCGCGACAUGUUUUGAAGACCACGCCAUCCUAAUAACUCCAAUUGCCAUUAUUAUGUUUUCUCUGGAUCGAUUAUUAAUCUCACAAAGUUUUGUUAACGUUCAACGUGUCUACGGAAUGCCAUAACUUAUAAACUGGAAAUUCAAACCAACAAAUAAUGAUCAAAAUCAAACAAAAUUAGUAGAUUAGUGUCAUACCCUAAUUUUUAACCCUAAUACCCC